rnacentral:rRNA from 1 species
GGAUCAGACGUGAUUACCCGCUGAACUUAAGCAUAUCACUAAGCGGAGGAAAAGAACUAACCAGGAUUCCCUAGUACUGCGAGUGAAGAGGGAUUAGCCCAGCACCGAAGCCUGCGGUCAUUUGACUGCUAGGCAAUGUGGUGUUUAGGUUGGUUCUUGGCAUUACUGCUCCACCCUAAGUCCAGCAAUGAGUACGGCUUACUGGAUUGGCCCAUUGAGGGUGAAAGGCCCGUGUGGGUGGAGACCCAGAUUGUCAGUUUUGCCCUGAAUUAACCUUGGAGUCGGGUUGUUUGUGAAUGCAGCCCAAAGUGGGUGGUAAACUCCAUCUAAGGCUAAAUACUGGCACGAGUCCGAUAGCGAACAAGUACCGUGAGGGAAAGUUGAAAAGUACUUUGAAGAGAGAGUAAACAGUUCGUGAACCCGCUCAGAGGUAAACGGGUGGAGUUGAACUGGAAGCCCUGGGGAUUCAGCUGAUGAGUAUGGCAUGAGCUUGGGCAUAUUGGUCGGCUUUCAGAGUCCGCUUAGCUGCGGGUCCUUGCCCUAACGGGUUUGGAUGUGCGUUACGCUCAUUAGGCGUUGUGCGCUCUGUCUGUUCCGGGCCUGCUCGUCAGUGCACUUCCUCAGGGUGUUCACCACGACCGGCGCUGCUGUCUGUCUGUUGCGGUCAAACCGGUUGGGCUUAGUCAUUUUGGCUAAGUUUGAUCGGGAUGGCAGGUAGCUCUUGAGAUUUUCUGGCUUCGGCUAGUAGAGCUCUUGAGUGUAAUUAGCCGACUGUAAUGGAUCUGUGCAGUGCGUCGGAGCUGGCGGCUUUGGUGUGUGUACGCGUGCUGUACCUUGCUGGCUUGGUCAAGUUUGGUUAAUGUGUUACUUGCUUCGGUGGGUCUAUUAAUGGCUUGACUUUGCAUAGUGAGUGGUGGCGCGUGCGACGCUAUCUAGGGCCAAAAGUCUGUGGUGUUGUGGUAAACUAUCCACCCGACCCGUCUUGAAACACGGACCAAGGAGUUUAACAUGUACGCGAGUCAUUGGGCGUUACGAAACCCAAAGGCGUAGUGAAAGUAAAGGUUCGGCUUGUCCGAGCUGAGGUGAGAUCCUGCUGUUUCUCUGCCUUGGACUACCAAGCAUUCGAGCAGUAGGCGCAUCACCGGCCCGUCUCAUGAUGUAGUCAUAUGACCUUUGGUUGUGUGCACCUUCGGGGCGGAGCUAGAGCGUACACGUUGAGACCCGAAAGAUGGUGAACUAUGCCUGCGGAGGUUGAAGCCAGAGGAAACUCUGGUGGAGGACCGCAGCGAUUCUGACGCGCAAAUCGAUCGUCUAACGUGGGUAUAGGGGCGAAAGACUAAUCGAACCAUCUAGUAGCUGGUUCCCUCCGAAGUUUCCCUCAGGAUAGCUGGCAUUCUGAUAAAUAAACAGUUUUAUCCGGUAAAGCGAAUGAUUAGAGAUAUUGGGGAGAAAUCAUCCUCAACCUAUUCUCAAACUUUAAAUGGGUGAGAAGCUUUGCUCGCUUAAUUGGAGUAAGGCGUUGAAUGUGAGUGCCAAGUGGGCCAUUUUUGGUAAGCAGAACUGGCGCUGUGGGAUGAACCAAACGUUCGGAUAAGGUGCCUAACUCAACGCUCAUGAGAUACCACAAAAGGUGUUGGUUGGUCCAGACAGCAGGACGGUGGCCAUGGAAGUCGGAAACCGCUAAGGAG